CUGAAUGCCUGCGRACUGAGGGGAGCUGAAGCUGCUUUUCUCCCGUUCCCUGUGCCUUUUUAAGGAAAGUCACCAUAUCAGCACAAAUCUGAACAUGUGCUGAAACACUCUCCCAAACUGGAGCUGAAAUCAGUGACCCUGCAGUUUUCCUGUGCUUUGGACACUCACUGCCAUCCUAUUGGAGCAUGCCAUCCUAAUUCUGCCAUCCUAUUUCUGCAUGUCUGAAGAGAAGAAGUUGAAGAAACUGCAAAGGACAGACGACAGAGAAGAGCAGAACAGAAGAGCAAAGAGCAAAGUGAGACAUGAGGUGGGGAUGAUGAAGCUGCUCUGAACACCAGUUCGAAAUAGCCCUGUGUAGGAGCUUCCUUACACAAGGACAACGAUCCUUCCCAAAGGUURUGGCAGAACUCCAAGGGUGAGUCUCGCAAAGUUAGGCAGCUUCUAAGAAGAAAGAGAUUCUUUCCAGAGGAAAAAAAUACUGUCAUUUUAGAAGCGGGAGCUCAGUGUUAAUCUUUCGGAAGUUAUCUUGAUGCAGAAGUGCUGAGUAUCCUGUUGUAUAUAUUGACUUGAAAUUGCUCAUUUUUAAAUCACUCAGAUUGUUUACAUGUUUGAAUAUGUAUCUACAAUCUGAAUGUUAGCUUUCUGCUGUUUAAAAGUUGGUCCUAAUAAAUUUAUUACCAAGUCUGCA
rnacentral:lncRNA from 1 species